GAUGAACGCUAGCGGCAGGCUUAACACAUGCAAGUCGAGGGGUAUAGUAGCAAUACUAGAGACCGGCGCACGGGUGCGUAACGCGUAUGCAAUCUACCUUUUACAGAGGGAUAGCCCAGAGAAAUUUGGAUUAAUGCCUCAUAGCAUAGCAGCUUCGCAUGAAGUCACUAUUAAAGUUCCAACGGUAAAAGAUGAGCAUGCGUCCUAUUAGCUAGAUGGUAAGGUAACGGCUUACCAUGGCUACGAUAGGUAGGGGUCCUGAGAGGGAGAUCCCCCACACUGGUACUGAGACACGGACCAGACUCCUACGGGAGGCAGCAGUGAGGAAUAUUGGACAAUGGGCGCAAGCCUGAUCCAGCCAUGCCGCGUGCAGGAAGACGCAUCUAUGGUGUGUAAACUGCUUUUGUACGGGAAGAAACACUCCCUCGUGAGGGAGCUUGACGGUACCGUAAGAAUAAGGAUCGGCUAACUCCGUGCCAGCAGCCGCGGUAAUACGGAGGAUCCGAGCGUUAUCCGGAAUCAUUGGGUUUAAAGGGUCCGUAGGCGGUUUGGUAAGUCAGUGGUGAAAGCCCAUCGCUUAACGAUGGAACGGCCAUUGAUACUGCCAGACUUGAAUUACUAGGAAGUAACUAGAAUAUGUAGUGUAGCGGUGAAAUGCUUAGAUAUUACAUGGAAUACCAAUUGCGAAGGCAGGUUACUACUAGUGGAUUGACGCUGAUGGACGAAAGCGUGGGGAGCGAACAGGAUUAGAUACCCUGGUAGUCCACGCCGUAAACGAUGGAUACUAGCUGUUCGGAGCAAUCUGAGUGGCUAAGCGAAAGUGAUAAGUAUCCCACCUGGGGAGUA
rnacentral:rRNA from 1 species